AACGCUAGCUACAGGCUUAACACAUGCAAGUCGAGGGGCAUCAGGGUAGCAAUACCGCUGGCGACCGGCGCACGGGUGAGUAACACGCAUCCAACCUACCGUUAACUCGGGGAUAGCCUUUCGAAAGAAAGAUUAAUACCCGAUAGUAUAUUUUCUUCGCAUGUUGAAAAUAUUAAAGAAUUUCGGUUAUCGAUGGGGAUGCGUUCCAUUAGGCAGUUGGCGGGGUAACGGCCCACCAAACCUACGAUGGAUAGGGGUUCUGAGAGGAAGGUCCCCCACAUUGGAACUGAGACACGGUCCAAACUCCUACGGGAGGCAGCAGUGAGGAAUAUUGGUCAAUGGACGAAGGUCUGAACCAGCCAAGUAGCGUGAAGGAUGACUGCCCUAUGGGUUGUAAACUUCUUUUAUAUGGGAAUAAAGUUCUCCACGUGUGGAGUUUUGUAUGUACCAUUAUGAAUAAGCAUCGGCUAACUCCGUGCCAGCAGCCGCGGUAAUACGGAGGAUGCGAGCGUUAUCCGGAUUUAUUGGGUUUAAAGGGAGCGUAGGUGGACUGGUAAGUCAGUUGUGAAAGUUUGCGGCUCAACCGUAAAAUUGCAGUUGAUACUGUCAGUCUUGAGUACAGUAGAGGUGGGCGGAAUUCGUGGUGUAGCGGUGAAAUGCUUAGAUAUCACGAAGAACUCCGAUUG
rnacentral:rRNA from 1 species